rnacentral:rRNA from 1 species
GCAAACUACGGGCCAGGUGCGGGGGUAGUACGUGGGGUCCGGGCGUUGUACGGAAUUAUUGUGGGUAAAGGGCGCGUAGGCGGUCUGUUGCGUCGGGAGGGAAAUCCUCCAGCUUAACUGGAUGCUUGCUUUCGAUACGGGCAGACUUGAGGUACUCAGGGGAGAAUGGAAUUCCUGGUGUAGCGGUGAAAUGCGCAGAUAUCAGGAGGAACACCGGUGGCGAAGGCGGUUCUCUGGGAGUUACCUGACGCUGAGGAGCGAAAGUGUGGGGAGCGAACAGGAUUAGAUACCCCAGUAGUC